UACGCAGGGGGCUAUCGUUGUUCGGAAUCACUGGGCGUAAAGCGCACGUAGGCGGACCUUGAAGUCAGGGGUGAAAGCCUGGAGCUCAACUCCAGAACUGCCUUUGAUACUGGAGGUCUCGAGUGUGGAAGAGGUUGGUGGAACUGCGAGUGUAGAGGUGAAAUUCGUAGAUAUUCGCAAGAACACCAGGGGCGAAGGCGGCCAACUGGUCCAUUACUGACGCUGCGGUGCGAAAGCGUGGGGAGUAAACAGG
rnacentral:rRNA from 1 species